UACGGGGGGGGCGAGCGUUGUUCGGAAUUACUGGGCGUAAAGGGUGCGUAGGCGGCUUUCUAAAGUCGGAUGUGAAACUCUGGGCUCAACCCAGACGCCUGCAUCCGAAACUGGAGAGCUAGGGUUCUGGAGGGGAAAGCGGAAUUCCAGGUGUAGCGGUGGAAAUGCGGUAGAUAUCUGGAGGAACACCGGUGGCGAAGGCGGCAUUCUGGACCAUACUGACGCUGAGGA
rnacentral:rRNA from 1 species